rnacentral:rRNA from 1 species
ACCCGAAGUCGCUGAUCCAACCCGCAAGGGAGGUAGGUGCCGAAGGUUUGGUUGGUAAUUGGGAUGAAGUCGUAACAAGGUAGCCGUAGGUGAACCUGCAGAAGGAUCA